AACGUACGCUGGCGGCACGCCUAACACAUGCAAGUCGAACGAAGUAGCAAUACUUAGUGGCAGACGGGUGAGUAACAUGUAGGUAUCUGCCCUUUGGCCUGGAAUAACACGAGGAAACUUGUGCUAAUACCGGAUAAGUCUUUACGGAGAAAGCUUUAUGCACCAUUGGAUGAGCCUGCACUUGAUUAGUUUGUUGGUGGGGUAAUGGCCUACCAAGACUGUGAUCAAUAGCUGAUUUGAGAGGAUGAUCAGCCACAUUGGGACUGAGACACGGCCCAAACUCCUACGGGAGGCAGCAGUGGGGAAUCUUGCACAAUGGAGGAAACUCUGAUGCAGCGAUGCCGCGUGAGUGAAGAAGGCCCUUGGGUUGUAAAGCUCUUUCGUCGGGGAAGAAAAUGACUGUACCCGAAUAAGAAGGUCCGGCUAACUUCGUGCCAGCAGCCGCGGUAAUACGAAGGGACCUAGCGUAGUUCGGAAUUACUGGGCUUAAAGAGUUCGUAGGUGGUUGAAAAAGUUGGUGGUGAAAUCCCAGAGCUUAACUCUGGAACUGCCAUCAAAACUUUUCAGCUAGAGUUUGAUAGAGGAAAGCAGAAUUUCUAGUGUAGAGGUGAAAUUCGUAGAUAUUAGAAAGAAUACCAAUUGCGAAGGCAGCUUUCUGGAUCAUUACUGACACUGAGGAACGAAAGCAUGGGUAGCGAAGAGGAUUAGAUACCCUCGUAGUCCAUGCCGUAAACGAUGUGUGUUAGACGUUGGAAAUUUAUUUUCAGUGUCGCAGCGAAAGCGAUAAACACACCGCCUGGGGAGUACGACCGCAAGGUUAAAACUCAAAUGAAUUGACGGGGACCCGCACAAGUAGUGGAGCAUGUGGUUUAAUUCGAAGAUACGCGCAGAACCUUACCAACACUUGACAUGUUCGUCGCGACUCUAAGAGAUUAGAGUUUUCGGUUCGGCCGGACGAAACACAGGUGCUGCAUGGCUGUCGUCAGCUCGUGUCGUGAGAUGUUGGGUUAAGUCCCGCAACGAGCGCAACCCUCACUUUUAGUUGCCAUCAUUAAGUUGGGCACUCUGAAAGAACUGCCAGUGAUAAGCUGGAGGAAGGUGGGGAUGACGUCAAGUCCUCAUGGCCCUUACGUGUUGGGCUACACACGUGCUACAAUGGUAUCUACAACAGGAAGCAAGACGGCGACGUCAAGCAAAUCCUUAAAAGAUACCUCAGUUCGGAUUGCACUCUGCAACUCGAGUGCAUGAAGCUGGAAUUACUAGUAAUCGUGGAUCAGCGUGCCACGGUGAAUGCGUUCCCGGGUCU
rnacentral:rRNA from 1 species